GCAGAACCUGUUCUUCGCGUUCGUCUACAACGUGCUCGGUGUGCCGAUCGCGGCCGGCGCGCUCUAUCCCGCGCUGGGGCUCCUGCUCAGUCCCAUGGUCGCGAGCGCGGCGAUGACCUUCAGUUCGGUCUCGGUGAUCGCGAAUG
rnacentral:misc_RNA from 1 species